rnacentral:ncRNA from 1 species
GUUGAGAAAGGUAAACUAUCCGAAAGGAUAGGACGCAAAGUUAUGGGCCUAAGAGAUUGUCAUUGUGAGCCUGCUGAAAGUAAGUGAAGCAAUCUCAUGCAAUACUACGGCUGCCAGACUGCCAACU